rnacentral:tRNA from 1 species
GGAGGGGUAGCUCAAUUGGAUAGAGCGCCGAUAUGUGUCCAUCAUUGUUAGAUUGAGAAUGAGACUGCUGCUCGCAGACUGAAUCCUGAGGUAUCAGUGAUUAGUCGAGUGUCAACUGCGGACCAUACGGGGUCUGCAAUCUUGCUGGAGGUCGUGGGUUCGAAUCCCUCCCCCCCA